UAGGAUCAUAAAGCCUAUAGCCUUCAGUUUCUUUAUUAUACCCUACAAAAAUACAUUUGAUGCUUUUAUCAUCCAGUUUCUUUCUCAAUUCAAUAGGCACAAAAGCAUAAGCAAUAGAACCAAAUUUCUUUAAGUGACUUACAGUGGGCUUGUAUUUAUACCAAAGUUCAUAAGGAGUAAUUCCUUCAACUACUUGAGUUGGAAAUCUAUUAAAAAGCUAUAAUGCAACUCCGACAGCUUCUGCCCAGAAAUUGUUAGGAAGGGUUUUGUCUCUUAGCAUGCUUCAGCAGUGACAACUAUAGUUCUUUUUUCAUUUAGUGACUUUAUUUUGCUGUGGAGUAUAACUUGCCGUAAGUUGCCUUUAGAUGCCAUUAUAGCUGCAAAAAUUAUUAAAUUAUAUGGAUGUGAACUCGUCACCACGAUUGGUGUGUAGUGUUAAUAAGGGAUAUCUUUUUUUUCCUUUUUAACCAUGGUUUGAAUUGUUUUUGAAACAUUUAAAAACUUCUGACUUCUCUUUCAAAAAUUACACCCAUCUCUUUCUUGAGAAAUCAUCUGCAUGCACCAACAUCAAUGGCUUUGGAGCUCUCCACAAUUUUCCUUUGGGAAACAUCUUUUAGAAAUGCUUUCUAAAGAUACAAGCUUCACAAUUUUGCCUUUCAUCUUUAAUCAUUGGAAUACACUUUACCGUAUUUUUUUUGCAUUACAAGGUUAGUCCUUUGAAAUUAAGGUAUCCAAAUCUUCGAUACCAAAGAAAAGAAUCAUCAGUAACUACAUCAAAGGCAUUAACAGGAACUUUUAAAAACACAAGUGGAAACAUCUUAUCUACUCCUAUUUAUAGCUGAAUAGAUUAGUUGCAUGCUCCUUUUAUCAAAUAUCAAGCAUUCAUCAACAUCGAAUACAACGUAAUAGUCUUUCUUCAAUAACUGGCAACCACUAAUUAGGUUAUGAGCUAAUCCAGGCACAUACAAAGCAUCAUGUAACAGUUUCUUUCCAAACUUUGACAUUACAGCAAUUGUACCCAUUCCACAUACCUGAACUUGAUUGUUGUUUCCCAUCCUGACGUUUGUCUUCAUGGAUUCAUCAAUCUCUUCAAAGAAUUAUUUGUUGCUAGUCACAUGAUUGCUCCCCAUACUUAUCACCAUGAGCAAAUGUGUAAGCAAGAAAUAAAUUUUCAUCAGAACCAUUUUCUUUUCCUGGGAAUUGGUAUUGUUUGCAACAUUUUUAAAACAGUUUUUCUCAAUAUGACCGUAUCGCUUGCAAUAAUAGCAAUGGGGAUGAUUUUGUUUUGGUCAUACUUCUCCUUAUACCAACAAUCUUUAUCAUUGUGGUUUGAUCUUCUACAAUAUGAGCAAGAAUUAGAAUUGUUACCUCCAUUUGAGUUCCUUUGUUGACCAUUGCUCAUUCUUCUACCUCUUCCCCUUACACAAGAUGAUCUCCCAUGACCUCGACUAGAGUUCCAUUGACUAGACUCAUCUAAUUUCUUCUUCAAAUCAAGUUUUGAUUGAAAGGCUUGCUGAAUAGGGUCUCUACCAUUCUGCUGAUGCACUGCUCAUGUGCUUGAAGUGACCCCAUUAAUUCAUUCAGAGAAUAAUUGGAUAAAUCCUUCGAUUCUUUUAUUACAGCAACAACACGAUCAAAUUUGGGAGAAAGGCAUCGUAAAACUCUCUCAACAAGCUUUUGGUCUAUCGAUUCUUCUUCGAGAGAUUUAAUCUGAUUCACCACUAAGUAAGCUUUCGAAAAAAAUUCUUGAACCGAUUCUGAUGGCUUCAUCUGCGAAUUCUCAAAUUUCCUAAGCAUGGUUUGCAGCUUCUAGUAAUCGCUUUGUUUAUUCUUUGAUACUCCAUUUCAAGUAAGUACCAUGUUUCUUUCGAUGUUGUAGUAGCCAUAACUCAUGGAAAAAUGGCAUCAUUUAGUGCUUGCUGAAUUAAGACUAGGGCUUUGGCAUCCUUCUUUUGCUUUUCUUUCAACUCAUUAGGUUGAGCAGCAAUUAGCCUCUCUACAUCUGUAAGACCAUCAAAACCAUUGUCAACCAGGUCCCAUAUAUCAUAGGACAGAAAUAGAGUCCUCAUCUUGAUAUGCCAAAACUGGUAGUUAAGUCCUGUAAA
rnacentral:lncRNA from 1 species